UACGAAGGGGGCUAGCGUUGCUCGGAAUCACUGGGCGUAAAGCGCACGUAGGCGGCUUGUUAAGUCAGGGGUGAAAUCCUGGAGCUCAACUCCAGAACUGCCUUUGAUACUGGCGAGCUUGAGUCCGGGAGAGGAGACUGGAAUUUACGGUGUAGCGGUGAAAUGCGUAGAUAUCGUAAGGAAGACCAGUGGCGAAGGCGGGUCUCUGGACAGUUCCUGACGCUGAGGCACGAAGGUCAGGGGAGCAAACGGG
rnacentral:rRNA from 1 species